UUUGACUGAGAGGUAAGGAGUUAUAGUGAGUGGUAUUACUCAUUCCUUACCUUUCCGUCAAAGGA
rnacentral:miRNA from 1 species